rnacentral:piRNA from 1 species
UGAAAGCUCUAUGACUAGAAUAUGGAC